CGAACGGAGUUAUGGAGAGAGAGUGAGGUGCUUGCACCAAGUGAUCAUUUCAUAACUUAGUGGCGGACGGGUGAGUAACGCGUGGGUAACCUGCCAUAUACAGGGGGAUAACACUUAGAAAUAGGUGCUAAAACCGCAUAAGCGCACAGCUUCGCAUGAAGCAGUGUGAAAAACUCCGGUGGUAUAUGAUGGACCCGCGUCUGAUUAGCCAGUUGGCAGGGUAACGGCCUACCAAAGCGACGAUCAGUAGCCGGCCUGAGAGGGUGAACGGCCACAUUGGGACUGAGACACGGCCCAAACUCCUACGGGAGGCAGCAGUGGGGAAUAUUGCACAAUGGGGGAAACCCUGAUGCAGCGACGCCGCGUGAGUGAAGAAGUAUUUCGGUAUGUAAAGCUCUAUCAGCAGGGAAGAAAAUGACGGUACCUGAGUAAGAAGCCCCGGCUAACUACGUGCCAGCAGCCGCGGUAAUACGUAGGGGGCAAGCGUUAUCCGGAUUUACUGGGUGUAAAGGGAGCGUAGACGGCGAGACAAGUCUGGAGUGAAAACCCGGGGCUCAACCCUGGGACUGCUUUGGAAACUGCCUGGCUGGAGUGCAGGAGAGGUAAGUGGAAUUCCUAGUGUAGCGGUGAAAUGCGUAGAUAUUAGGAGGAACACCAGCGGCGAAGGCGGCUUACUGGACUGUAACUGACGUUGAGGCUCGAAAGCGUGGGGAGCAAACAGGAUUAGAUACCCUGGUAGUCCACGCCGUAAACGAUGAUCACUAGGUGUUGGGGGCCUACAGGCCUUCGGUGCCGUCGCAAACGCAAUAAGUGAUCCACCUGGGGAGUACGUUCGCAAGAAUGCAACUCAAA
rnacentral:rRNA from 1 species